rnacentral:rRNA from 1 species
CCUACGGGUGGCAGCAGUGAGGAAUAUUGGUCAAUGGACGCAAGCCUGAACCAGCCAAGUCGCGUGAAGGAUGACUGCCCUACGGGUUGUAAACUUCUUUUGUACAAGAGUAAAGUUAGACACGUGUGCCUUUUUGUAUGUACUUUAUGAAUAAGGAUCGGCUAACUCCGUGCCAGCAGCCGCGGUAAUACGGAGGAUCCGAGCGUUAUCCGGAUUUAUUGGGUUUAAAGGGAGCGUAGAUGGGUUGUUAAGUCAGUUGUGAAAUUUUGAGGCUUAACCGUAAAAUUGCAAUUGAUACUGGUAGCCUAGAGUACAGGUGAGGUAGGCGGAAUUCGUGGUGUAGCGGUGAAAUGCUUAGAUAUCACGAAGAACUCCGAUUGCGAAGGCAGCUUACUAAACU